rnacentral:rRNA from 1 species
GAUGAACGCUGGCGGCGUGCCUAAUACAUGCAAGUCGAGCGAAUGGAUUAAGAGCUUGCUCUUAUGAAGUUAGCGGCGGACGGGUGAGUAACACGUGGGUAACCUGCCCAUAAGACUGGGAUAACUCCGGGAAACCGGGGCUAAUACCGGAUAACAUUUUGAACCGCCUGGUCCGAAAUUGAAAGGCGGCUUCGGCUGUCACUUAUGGAUGGACCUGCGUCGCAUUAGCUAGUUGGUGAGGUAACGGCUCACCAAGGCAACGAUGCGUAGCCGACCUGAGAGGGUGAUCGGCCACACUGGGACUGAGACACGGCCCAGACUCCUACGGGAGGCAGCAGUAGGGAAUCUUCCGCAAUGGACGAAAGUCUGACGGAGCAACGCCGCGUGAGUGAUGAAGGCUUUCGGGUCGUAAAACUCUGUUGUUAGGGAAGAACAAGUGCUAGUUGAAUAAGCUGGCACCUUGACGGUACCUAACCAGAAAGCCACGGCUAACUACGUGCCAGCCGCCGCGGUAA